GAUGAACGCUGGCGGCGUGCCUAAUACAUGCAAGUCGAGCGAACCACUUCGGUGGUGAGCGGCGAACGGGUGAGUAACACGUAGGUUAUCUGCCCAUCAGACGGGGACAACGAUUGGAAACGAUCGCUAAUACCGGAUAGGACGAAAGUUUAAAGGUGCUUCGGCACCACUGAUGGAUGAGCCUGCGGCGCAUUAGCUAGUUGGUAGGGUAAAGGCCUACCAAGGCGACGAUGCGUAGCCGACCUGAGAGGGUGAACGGCCACACUGGGACUGAGACCAGGCCCGGACUCCGACGGGAGGCAGCAGUAGGGAAUCUUCGGCAAUGGGCGAAAGCCUGACCGAGCAACGCCGCGUGAAUGAUGAAGGCCUUCGGGUUGUAAAAUUCUGUUAUAAGGGAAGAAUGGCUUUAGUAGGAAAUGGCUAGAGUGUGACGGUACCUUAUGAGAAAGCCACGGCUAACUACGUGCCAGCCGCCGCCGUAAUAC
rnacentral:rRNA from 1 species